rnacentral:misc_RNA from 1 species
GAAAUGCGAUAAGUAAUGUGAAUUGCAGAAUUCAGUGAAUCAUCGAAUCUUUGAACGCACCUUGCGCUCCUUGGUAUUCCUUGGAGCAUGCCUGUUUGAGUAUCAUGAAAUCAUCAAAGUAAAUCUUUUGUUAACUCAAUUGGUUUCUACUUUGGUAUUGGAGGUCUUUGCAGCUUCACACCUGCUCCUCUUUGUUCAUUAGCUGGAUCUCAGUGUUAUGCUUGGUUCCACUCGGCGUGAUAAGUUAUCUAUCGCUGAGGACACUGUAAAAGGUGGCCAAGGUAAAUGCAGAUGAGCCGCUUCUAAUAGUCCAUUGACUUGGACAAUACUUUUAUGAUCUGAUCUCAAAUCAGGUAGGACUACCCGCUGAACUUAAGC